rnacentral:rRNA from 1 species
UGUCAUAUGCUUGUUUCAAGGACUAAGCCAUGCAAAUGUCAGAGUACUUGCGUCUUUGACGUCGAGAGGUCUGUGUACGGCUCAUUAAACGGUUUAUUGUCUACCCAACGGCGAAGGUGCUUGCACCUUCCGAUGGGAUACCCUUGCUAACUGCAAGGCUAAUACCUGUAAGAAGAACCUCGCACUAUUCAAGCACCUGGUUGGAAACUUCUGGGUGUGGUGUGAGGUGUGAUUCGCCGAAACAAAAACCAACGCCUUUACGGGCAGUUACGAUUGUUGAGGCAGGCGAAUGUCGCGAAAGCACUGUAAGGUGCGGUGUUGGACGAAUUUACCACCUAUCAGGUUGAAGGUAGUAUAGUUGACUACCUUGCCUCUGACGGGUAACGGAGAAUUGGGGUUCGAUUCCGGAGAGGGUGCCUGAGAUAUGGCAACCAUGCCUACGGGCAGCAGCAGGCGCGCAAAUUGCCCAAUGCCAAUACUGGCGAGGCAGCGACGAAAAAUAGUAACUCCGUUGUACAUUGUACAUCGGAGAUUGCAAUGGAUUGUAUCUAUACUCACUGCUGAGUAUCAAUUGGAGGGCAAGUCUGGUGCCAGCAGCCGCGGUAAUUCCAGCUCCAAGAGCGUAUAUAAAUGUUGUUGCGGUUAAAAAGCCCGUAGUUGGAUUUGAGGGCAUCGCUUGUGGCCGCGCCCUGGACGGGUUCUGCUCGCUCUGGGAUCCCGUGACCACAUUUAGGCGGUGUUCUACUUGAUGCGGGAAUGAUCAUCGGUCAAAGCCUCCUUCAUCGGUGGUGGCGAUACCUUCGGAGUUACCACACUCCAUAAGAAGCGCCCGCAGCUGUCACUGUGAGUAAAACAGAGUGUUCAAGGCAACCGACUUGCUCGGUUGAAUGUUAAAGCAUGGAAUGACAAGGGAUCGACCACUGUUGGCCUCUUUUUGUUGGUUUUCAAGCCUCAGUGAGGUAAACUUGUGCAGGAGCCUCGUUCGUGUGUGCUUGCACCGCGGUCGAGCCCUCGCACAGCGGGACCAAUAGGAGCACAGGGGGCCAUGAGUACUGUGGGGCUAGUGGUGAAAUACUGAGACCCCCGCAAGACUGACAUCAGCGAAAGCACUUGGCUAUUGUGCUUUCAUCAAUCAAGGACGAGAGAUAGGGGAUCGAAGAGGAUUAGACACCCUCGUAGUCCUUUCCUUAAAUUCUGCAGACUUGGGAUCGGUCAGCGCUCUUUUUCCUGACUUGAUCGGCACCUUCCUCCUUUAUCGAGAAAUCAAAGUCUUUGUGUUCCGGGGGGAGUACAUUCGCAAGGCUGAAACUUAAAGGAAUUGACGGAGAACCACCACCAGUCGUGGAUUGUGUGGCUUAAUUCGACCCAACACGGGAAAUUUUACCAGCACAGGACAUGGUCAGGAUUGCCAAGUUAAAGCCUUUGCUUGAUUCCAUGAAGGGUGGUGCAUGGCCGCCUCUGGUUGGUGAAUAUGAUUUGUCUGCUUAAUUGCGAUAACGAACGAGAUCUCUGCCAAUUACUAGAUGCUGCUUUCGAUGUAGGUGGAGCUUGGAUGCAGGUUUCGGCUUGUGUUCUAGUUUUGCCGAGAAGGCAGAGUUUUUACUUAUUGGGAUUAUGAGUCUUCAAAACUCAUUGAAACGAGAGCCCAAAGCAGGUCUGUGGUGCUCCUAAAUGCGCUGGGCCGCACG